UCCCACGUAGUCUAGUGGUUAAGAUACCUGGCUCUCACCCAGGAGGCCUGCGUUCGCUCCCCGGAGUGGGUA
rnacentral:tRNA from 1 species